CCUUAUGAUGACUUCUUACUAUCUAUUGUUCUAUCCCUGAGUUCAUCAUGAUGAACAAUCAAUUCACCUUGGAGAACUGAUCU
rfam:Nectria haematococca mpVI 77-13-4 chromosome 1 genomic scaffold NECHAsca_1_chr1_3_0, whole genome shotgun sequence.